rnacentral:ribozyme from 14 species
GCUUCCAUACUGUGAUUGUUUUUUCUUCUUCUUCUUCUUCUUCUUCUUCUUCUUCGUCUUCUUCUUCGAUAAAA